GUGGGUGAUGGCCAGUCUGGUAUGCCAGGGUUCAUCUGGAAUAGAGUUCCUGACUUGGGGUCCUGGAACUGCUAGGGGGCGCCAAAGAUCUCAGGAUCUACACAGCAAGAUCCCCAAAGAUGUUCUGUUGAAGUACAAAUCGGGGGAACGGCCAUCCUGCAUUUAAACCUCAACACCACGCUGGACAGAAAUGAUGUAAAAGUAGAAUGGUGCCAUGAUAAGAAGCAUGUGCAUGUGUUUGAGAAUAAUGGGUCCUAUCUUGAAUAUCAGCUCAAGGCUUAUAAAAACAGAGCAUUCCUCUUUGAGGGUCAAAUCAGUGAAGGAAACGUUUCACUGAAACUCAUCAACGUGACUGAGCAGGAUGCGGGAAACUACACCUGCAUUAUAAUACGUGACAAAAUGCCACCAAAGAAGUUUGAAUUUUGUCUCGAUGUAGUGGAUGACAGCCCCACAGAAGCUUCAGUGGGGAGCCCUAAACCUGAUCCAACACCUACGCCUCAACCUCCCCAAGACACGACCGUGAUAAUUAUCAGUGUUGUUGCUGGUGUUGCUGUGUUGGGCGUCAUCGCUGGAGUGUUAUUAUGUAAACGUAGAGGAAACAGACAAACCAAAACAACCGAAACAAUCCAAGGGAGAUGCAUGCCCUGAAUGACCACAACUAAGACAAUACGGACAACGAAGAUGGCCAAGACGACAGAGACAUCCCCAACAACCCAGAUGUCCAAGACGACCAAAUCAACCCAGAUGACCAAGACAGCCAAGAGGACCAAAACAACCGAGAUGUUCAUGACAACCAAAUCAGCCAAGACAAUAGAGAUGACCAAGACAACCCGGACAACCAGGACAAUAAAAAAUGCAGGAUCUGAGCACCAUGGGAAGCAAUUAAACAAGGACGAGAACAUCCAUGAAGGUUCAAGUUUUCUCGAAGACAUGACAGAGAAAUUGAAACCCUGUCCUGUACUCAAAACCUCCUUAUGAUGAUUCUGGAGUACAAACACAUCUCACCCAUACUUCAUAAUCUUCACUGGCUUCCUAAUGACGAUCCCCAACUCCUCGACCCCCAAACUUCGAAAAGAAUCUUCUGCACUGACACCGUGUCUUUGUCUUCUCACCAGUGUGUAAUAUUUGGUAAACGUCUUGAAAAUGCCCUCUUCAAUCCCUUUAUGGUACAUGAAACGUGUUAAAGUGUCUUUUAAUGGUGCCGUUCUCCUGGACAAAAUGUGAUAAAGUGCCCUCCAGGCUGCCUUCCCAGUGGACAAACAUAAAGAGGUCCCUCUCAUGUCCCCCUCUAGUGGACAGUAUGCGGUUAAGUGCCCCUUAAGUCCUUUCCAUUGGACCAACAAGACAAAGUGCCUUAAGGGUGCCCUUCCAUUAGGUUAUACUGAGCUAAGUGCUUGUGCUGUCCUAUAUUACUGUCCUGCUUUGGAGACAUUAGCUGCCUCAGUGUAUCUCAAUCCAAAGAGACUCAAUAGAGUGAACAAUAGUUUAUUUUACAAGUUUGAAAAUGUGAAGUUUCUUUGGCGCAUAGAUUCCAUUGUGAUUCAGUCUAGACACUGACAGUGGAAGGAGUAGGAUGAGAUGAGGAGUAGACUUCUGAGGAGCCUGACCCAGUCACCGAUGAGCUGGCAUGGAGGUGGUGAUGUAGGGUGGACUUGUAAGGACCUGGACCCUGGUACAGAUGUGAUGUAAUGGAGCACUGAUGAACAGCAGACUGAAUGACUGAAUGUCAGGACUGGAGCUCCUACAUUAAAGGUCCAUCCAUCCAUCUACUUUCGCUUAUCCUGGGCCGGGUCAUGGGGGCAGCAGGUUAAGCAAGUCCGCCCAGAUGUCCCUUUCCCCAGCGACACUUUCCAACUCCUUCUGGGGGAUCCUGAGGCGUUCCCAGACGAGACAGGAUAUGUAAUCUCUCCAACGCAUUCUUGGUCUUCCUGGAGGUCUCCUCCCAGACGGAUGUGCCUGGAAUACCCCCACUGGGAAGCGACCAGGAGGCAUCCCGAUCACAUGCCCGGACCACCUCAGCUGGCUCCUUUUGAUGCAAAGGAGCAGCGGCUCGACUCCUAGCCCCCUCAGGAUGUCUGGACUCCUCAUUCUGGGCCAGAUUUACGAAAGGUUUGCAUGUAUAAAAAUGUAUGUAAAAUCAUUGCACAUGCAAAAAAAAGUACAAACUGAUUUACUAACAGUGCGCGCUAAGGGUUGCGUCUUUCAAAGGUGCAAAAUAGUGCAUCUGCAUCCAUUUAGUACAUUUGCUGCAAUAAAUAUGCAAUAUGGGGCGUUGCGCAGAGAACGCAUUUUUCACCCUCGUGUGAACAUUUUUUGAAUGAAUGAGGAAACAGUCAUUAAAACAUAUCGCCUCUCCAGCCUUGCCAGUUUGGAGCUGAUGGAGGAACUCGUAGCAGAUUUGGAGCCAGCCACAAGAAGGAGUCACGCAAUACCUGCAGUGACAAAACUCCUUGCAAGUUUACUUUUUUUUGCAUCUGGGUCAUUCCAGCGUACGGUAGCUAUUACUGCUGGGAUCCCCCAAUCCCAUUUUUCUGAUGUUCUGUGUGAAGUUCUAGCGUUAAACACACACAAGGGGGAACUUUUAAGGAAAAUAGAAAACCUUUUAAAGUAAAGAAUAUAUCAAAAUGCAAUAAACAAUUUUGGUGCUGA